GCCCGGAUGGCGGAAUUGGCAGACGCACAGGACUUAAAAUCCUGAGGAGGUUGACCUCCGUGUGGGUUCGAGUCCCACUCCGGGCA
rnacentral:tRNA from 1 species